rnacentral:rRNA from 1 species
AUCCAACCUGCCGUCUACUCUUGGACAGCCUUCUGAAAGGAAGAUUAAUACAAGAUGGCAUCAUGAGUCCGCAUGUUCACAUGAUUAAAGGUAUUCCGGUAGACGAUGGGGAUGCGUUCCAUUAGAUAGUAGGCGGGGUAACGGCCCACCUAGUCUUCGAUGGAUAGGGGUUCUGAGAGGAAGGUCCCCCACAUUGGAACUGAGACACGGUCCAAACUCCUACGGGAGGCAGCAGUGAGGAAUAUUGGUCAAUGGGCGAGAGCCUGAACCAGCCAAGUAGCGUGAAGGAUGACUGCCCUAUGGGUUGUAAACUUCUUUUAUAAAGGAAUAAAGUCGGGUAUGCAUACCCGUUUGCAUGUACUUUAUGAAUAAGGAUCGGCUAACUCCGUGCCAGCAGCCGCGGUAAUACGGAGGAUCCGAGCGUUAUCCGGAUUUAUUGGGUUUAAAGGGAGCGUAGAUGGAUGUUUAAGUCAGUUGUGAAAGUUUGCGGCUCAACCGUAAAAUUGCAGUUGAUACUGGAUAUCUUGAGUGCAGUUGAGGCAGGCGGAAUUCGUGGUGUAGCGGUGAAAUGCUUAGAUAUCACGAAGAACUCCGAUUGCGAAGG